CAGUAUUUACGCUGCUGUUACGUAGGUCUGUUCUCUUCUCCCGUUCUGUCUUUCUGCCUGUUCGCUGCAACGCGCUUCGAAGCUGCAUGUUGGCGUGUUUGUCAACCCACUAUUUAAUCCGCCUAAUAGUACGUGUUGCCCGGCUUCACUCUCCUCUAUCAUUACCUUGACUUCAUCUUCCAUGAACACUUUUGGUCCACGGUUAUUCCCGACUGAACCCCCCCGUCUUUGCCAACAUUGUAUAAAUUGUGAGGCAGGUGCCGUCGACCUGAGUUGAUUAGAGAUGCGUAGAUCACAGGAGUGUAAAUCACAAAUGUUUUUUUUUUUUAAGUAUAAAUCUAAGGGGGUUCAUUUAAAUGAGGCCUCUGAACUCAACUACAUCCAGCACCUUUGGGAUGACCUGCAUAGCUAAAUGUGAGCCAGAGCCCUAAUCACCCAACAUCAGUGUUCAGCCUCACUUGUGCUCUCGGUGUGAAUGGGUGCAAAUCCCUGCAGUCAAAAUCUUAUGGAAAGCCUUCAAAGAGGACUGAAGUCUGUUACAGCAGCAUAUUAAUGCCUGCAGUUUUGAAAUAAGACGUUAUACGGACGUUGCCAUUGUCCACAUGCAUUUGGCCGCGCGUCGCACACUCCUGUGAUGUAGAUUAGUCAGGAUGAGCUGUGACUACUGUCCCCCUCACUGUAAUGUAUUGUCGCUGUAAAUGAGCUCUGGCCUGUGAUUCUCUGCAGUCAGCUCUUAGCUGGUGAGUAUGAAUUAUCCUCCUGCAUCACAGAGACACAGCGAGAGAGAGAGAAACGGGAGCGUAGGUACAGAGAAACAAGCAGAGCAGCGAGGGAUGGAGUGAGACGGGCGGACGGGGAGAGCAGAAGAGGUCAUGGCCCGUUUCACACGGCCAACGAGGAGAUUACAGGAGGUCCGCGGGCAUGACACGGGCUGCGCGCAGAUGCAAACACGCCACCUGCGGAGGAGCCGAGGGAAGGACAAAGGAAGGCUCGUAGAGGGGACACAAACCGAGAAAAACGCUUCACUCGGCGAGAUCCAAGUGAUAGCAAGCGACGACGACUGCGCGGAGGCGAGAUAAAAACACGCUGUCAUCCAGAGCUGCUGAGUCCACGAGCCUGCAGAGCGAGCGUGCUGCUGUUACCGCUCGUGGCACACACUGGACUUUCCAAGUGUCAUGUCUUGUUACACAUUAGCCGCACACCGACCACUGCGCGAGAGAGACAGGCCGGCGCCCAGCGUGGGGACUCCACGCCAUAUGUCGGACACCGCGUGGCGGAGCUACAGCAGCGACGAGAGUCCAGCUCGAUCAGAACGUUACACAUGUCGUUUUCAUUUAGGCGCUCGUUCACGGCCGAGUAAUAGCUCUAAUUUGCCCCGUGAUUCACAGGCAGGGGUGAUAUCAUAUGUUCAUGGACACUUCAGACAGCUUCGAUUUAAAUAACAGCUGAAGCCACGAGAACAGCUGUAUGGAAAAGUCAGCUGCAGUUAGGCCCCAAAUGAGUUCAGAUAUGACUAAUGUCACACACGUUACGUAGGCGUCAAGCGACCGUGAGCUCACAAUCGGGGAUAUUUGUGUCGGCCUACUGACCUAAUGGGCUUCAGUCAUGACUUUCUUUUUCUGUCCUGUACAUGUAUAGACCCGUUUCACAGCGGCAGGCGUUUUGACCCUGUAUAGCAGCAAAAGCACAGAUGGAAUUAUUAUCAACGAUGGCUUCAUUAAGUGCCCCAGCAAGUUAUUCCAGUCAGCCAGUACACAGCUCUGGUUACCUCAUUAAGUCAUGACUUCAUAAACAUUGGAUGCCUUUGUUUUUUUUGUCUGAGUUGUUCAUGAGGACUUGAUGUCCUAGUUGGCCAUGGAAACAUUACCUUCGAAACGUAUUUUACGCGAAUAUCAACUGUAACUAAGCGACAACCUUUUUUAAAUAUUCAUACCGCUUGUCCAGCAUCAGCAACAUCCCGGUUGCCGCUGCGUAAAGCCGAGCGCGUCCCAAAGUCUGAAGGCACACCAGUGAAUUUGGGUGAUGCGUGCAAACUGAGCGGCCUCUCAUUUCCACGCUGCCACUCGUCUCUUUCUUCUGCUCCAGAUAAGUUCUUUUUAAUCGCUGACCUCGCUUCGCUAUAUGCCCACAAACUGCACGUGAAGAGACAGAGGCUGGUCACACCACCGGCCUGAGGGGAAAUCGCUGAGCUGCGUCCUUUCACUGAAUUACAAAUGGGGCAAGGAAAUGACAUCAUCGGACCAGAGAGAAGACACCUUGGUUUUAGCAACCCGUGUUACCCAACUGUGGACUUCCUGAUCUAUUAGAUUUUAAUGUUACAAGUGUUUUGAAGAUAUUUCUCCAUCACUGUGCCACUAUUUUGUUGAUUUUAUGAUAUCGAAAAGAAAAAAAACGUCUUUAUUGGAUCAGUUUAUAGUAAAAUCACACUUUUAAUUUCACUACACAGGAGUUUUCAGACCCCCAGGCAACUUCCUGCUUUGUCACUGCUGAUCUAAGACAACCCCAGUGGAAGUUUAAACCUUCGCUGUCUGUAGGUAUCAUGAAAGCUGUCUGCUCGGUCGGCCUCCUUGCCAAGAGAAAGCAGCCCCCACCCAACCCCCCGUCCUCCUUCCUCCUCAUCUUUCCAUCUACUUUUGUACCCUGGGAAACCCCCUCGCCAUAGUCUCCAUGACACAUUUAACCCACCUAUUAUGCUGCACUGUGGGGGGCCCGGCAAACCCAAACAAUAAUUUAGACCCCGUUUUACUGGAGCACUUAUCUUCUAAGUGCUCGCACAAGUAGUCAAAGCCACACACUGUUAUAAUGUUCAAUUUUGAUGGAUGACGGAGUCUCACACUUAGUUUGCGACUGAGAGAAUUUUUGACACAAAGAUGCUUAAACAGCUGGCAGGGGAAUGAAGACGUAAAGAGCUCUGAGUUUAAAGUUUCCCAAAACGUCCUCGGGGAUACAACUCUGAUGGUUAUUUGAGGUUAUCUGAGAGGUUAUUUGACUUUGAUUGUUAUUUCCAGAGUCAGUCACCUCUGAACUUGUGAAUGGCUUGCUGUUCAGGACAGGGGUUGUUUGACAAGGAACUGUUAGACCUCAUAACUCACCCUUCAAACACAAAUAGGUUUGUUUUUCUGCUUGAGAAACAGUUGAACAAAAGAAACUGAAUAUAUUCGCACGUGAUAUGGGUUUUUCCAUCAGCACUUUAGGCCGGGCCGGGUCAAACCAUGUCAUGCCGAGGAUGGACUGCGACCUGAUCGAAGUGUGCCGAAACACCACGGAGCUUGUUCAGAUGGGCCUCGUCAUCAUUCAGGGAUGAAUGGAAACAAAACUUCACCCGACUUUCCUUCUGCAUGAGGAACCUCACCGGAUGACUUUGGCGCGGACACAACUUGACCGGAGCACAAAGUGUGAAUCAUCGCUCCACCAGUCCCCCCCGUCUCCUCCUCUCUCCGUCCUGAUUUGUAUGCCACAGCGGUUGUACCAGCGCUCUGCUCUGAUUAAUGCAUGUUUAUGAGAUGCUGCGUUAAACCUGUCAUUGUCCAGAUAGCCUCCCCCCCUCCUCUCUGUCGUGCGUUCCUCCCUCUGUCUCCUUGUUGACUUAUUUUCUCCCAGAAGUGCUGUGUUGAUACGACAGCACCAGGUAGGACAGGCCGGGGCACGGCAGGACAGGGGGACACGGCGGCGGCGGGCAAUAAAAGUGUCAUUUUUCACCUCGUUCGUAAACAGUCGUAACGUUGAGAUGAGCCAUUGCCUAUUAUGGGCUCCGUCCAGCCUGUGACAUCAGUAAACAGAGGAGGACAGCUCUGUGCGAGCGCCUGGCCUCGACCAAUGGGGAGUGUGUUUUAACAAGCCGGGAGUCUGGACUAGCUCGGCCCAUGGUAACCCCAGGUAGACAAUGCACUUGUUAUGGUUGGGCCUGGGAACAGACGCGGGUCUAACACUUAUCAAGCUGUCCUGCGAGGCACAAACUUUGGAUCAUGAAUAUUGCAGAGGUUAUGGGGUUAUGGGACAGCUUUAUUACUCUGACAAACACCAUUUCUCAGGAGGGUUCGAGGUGGGAGGACAGGACGGCCAUAUGGCUGCCUGUUCUGCUUUGCGAAACAGGCCGUUGAACUUUUUAACUCCGCCGCGUGACUUUUGAGUCACCUUUAUCUUGCACUGCUUGACCCAUGCUGUGGCAGCAAAUGAGAGUCUAUCUUUAGGCGCAGUGAUUCAGCACGCCCGCUCAGAUCGCGAGCGGGAGAAUGCCGGGGAAAGGUGUGCGUGAUGUGACAGUGUGGGGGUUUGUGAAACAUGUGCCCCACGCUGUUCCAACACAACCCGCCUGUUUUGGGUUUUUUUUUUGUUGUUGAUACAAACUGAUAAAGCAGCUGACAGGGAUGCAGAUUUUUUGUCAUAAUGCAGGUGGCUGACUUCAAGGAAGGGCGGAAGGAGCGAAAGCAGUGGAGGGUGAGGAGGAGAUGACAGGACACCUCCCCUCCAUAUGCUCACCGCGCCUCUCCUCCAUAUGCAUGCGGCUCGUCGCCACCUCUUCCUCUCUUCACAUAGGCGGCGCUGAUGAAUUGUGAAUUUAUACACCUUUCAUGAAUCUCCCGCGCAGAGGAAAGCCAGAACAGGCCUGCGAGGGAAUGCUUUGGUUUUCGAGUGAGAAAGGCAGACGGCGCCCUCUUGUUUACAGAGGAAGAACUGCACAUCUCGUUCCUUCAGGUUCUGUGCUGUUAGAAACCAGCAACACCAUGUGGCAUUCAUAAAUAAUAUGUUAAGAUUUAAUGAAUGGUUUAUAACACACUUUAAUGUUAAUGAUGUAUAAAUAGAUAAUGAAUGAGAAUAGAGUCAAACACUACUGUAUUCAUAUAGAAUUGUACUUCAAAGAGGAAGUAAGAAUUGUUGACAGAUUAAAAUGUCCUCAUAUCUGUUAAUAACUACAUUAUAGCUAAAUUACAGUGUUUUUCACCAUUUGUUAAAUGUUAAAUACUGAUCAUAGAUGCUAUAUAUUUUUUGCUGUGAAUAACGGUGAAGGAGAAAGGGAAGGGAAGCAUAACUUACUGCAAAAACCGGUCACAAAGCUGAAAACAAGGCUGCUUUUCAGAGUCUUCUUAUAUUAUUAUCAUAGCAUGUCUGGCUGUGCUGCUAUCCAUCUCCUCUGUCAUGUAUUUAGGCCCAUAG